AGUCUUUCUGAAGCUGGAGGUUUGUCAUAAUUGACGGCUUUAUAUGCAGCCUUCUGAAGCCCUUUAACUAGGCAAGAGAUCAUGUAGUCCCGCCUGGCUAUGCCUGGGUCCCAGGGCCUGGCUUCAAAAUGGUGAGAAGAUAAUGAGAAAAGGAAAGAAUCUAUGGAUAAGAAGUAAGGAGAAAAUCGUUGACAAUUGUCAAAAUCUUGCCUCAUUACUUCUCCAGGAAUGAUGUCUAUCCUUUUCUUCAAACACAUUCUGUAUUCUAGGAAUUCUGAAUUAUUUUGGAUUAGCCAAACUCACUAUAAACUCUACUAUAAAUAGGAAACCCUGCCAUGUUGAAAGGAAUACAACCCAACAUGGAGUAGAAACAAGAAAUCAAGAUAUACACUCUAGGACAAGGAGCAAUAAGAAUUUGACUUAAAAUGGUUAUUUAGCAUGUAUUAGAGUUGCAACUGGAUUUUAUGUAGUUAUGAGGGAACCCUGAAAAAAGUACCAUUGAACAGAAAUGAGAUUUGGUUUCAGAACUUCAGCCCAAAUGCUAUUAAAUCUUUUGCAUUUCUUGAACUA
ensembl:lncRNA novel transcript